rnacentral:rRNA from 1 species
GAUGAACGCUGGCGGCGUGCCUAAUACAUGCAAGUCGAACGAACAGAUAAGGAGCUUGCUCCUUUGACGUUAGCGGCGGACGGGUGAGUAACACGUGGAUAACCUACCUAUAAGACUGGGAUAACUUCGGGAAACCGGAGCUAAUACCGGAUAACAUAUUGAACCGCAUGGUUCAAUAGUGAAAGGCGGCUUUGCUGUCACUUAUAGAUGGAUCCGCGCCGUAUUAGCUAGUUGGUAAGGUAACGGCUUACCAAGGCAACGAUACGUAGCCGACCUGAGAGGGUGAUCGGCCACACUGGAACUGAGACACGGUCCAGACUCCUACGGGAGGCAGCAGUAGGGAAUCUUCCGCAAUGGGCGAAAGCCUGACGGAGCAACGCCGCGUGAGCGAUGAAGGUCUUCGGAUCGUAAAACUCUGUUAUCAGGGAAGAACAAAUGUGUAAGUAACUGUGCACAUCUUGACGGUACCUGAUCAGAAGGCCACGGCUAACUACGUG